UGGAGAAUGCGGGUGUUCCACUCCUACCAAAUCGUGUGAUCUUUGGAUCAACGUAAUACUGAGGUCCUGGACUGCAGUUGACUUCGUACACUGUCAAGAGAGUGUAAAUACAUUAAAACUUCUUUUUUGUGUCUGCUUAAAUAUUUUGAAUUGGAACAUACUUCCAUAUUCUUCAUUUGUUAUAUCUUGCAGGAUAUGUUUGCGUUUUGAUUUAAUAUUGAUAAUGACAGUGCUUUUGCUAUCAAGAACUGAAAUAUUGGAAUGAUCUGCUCAAAAGUGGAUUAUAAAUCACUGUAGCAGGCACAGUUACUUGUCACAAAAAUAUUGCCUAUAAAUUAUCAUGUGGAAAAUUAACAUACAAUAACACAAUGUAGCCAUAUAAUUAAUUAUUGUGCCCAAAAUCUCCUUUAAAAUAACAGACAAAGUAAUUAUAGGCAUACAUUGUGCAGCCAGUAUAUAUACUAUAAUUUGCAGAGACAAAUGAAUUGUUUUUCAAAGUAAUACAAGUAAAUUAUUUGGAAGUUUCAAUGGAAUACAGAAUCCGUUAUUUAUAUAUUGUGAAAAGAACAUUUAUGUGAUAUACUCCUAAAAUGCUAAAGUAAAAUAUUUCAACUUCACAUUUGAAUAGUUCAAAGCAAUGGCUCGGUAGUUAUUUAGAUAUCCUUAGCUAGGUCAGUUCGAGUGACCAGCUCAAUUGUUAUCCUAUCAUUAUCUCAUACUAUUGCACAUACUGCCCAGACAAUGGACUUAGGGGUAUAGGUGAGUGUAGAUGUAUACUUGGACUCACACCCAUGUCCAUUAGGCAAAACAGCAGUCCCUGAUAGUAGCAAGAUGGUCCUGAUUCUGUUUAUCACAUUCUUAAAAAUUGCGAAUAGUAUUUCUAUAAGAACCAUUUUUACUAUUGACAUUUGGCACACAAUAGAAUCUCAAUAAUUAAGAGGAAGACUUUUUUUUACUGGAAAGAUUAUUGGCAGUAGAUUUGAAAUAUUAGUUAAUUUACUGAAGCAAUGACCUAUAUAUGUUUGCUGAUUCUUCCAUUCUUGUUUCCGAGCCUUGGGCCAUGGAUUGGUCCUCAUUAAUAGACAACUGCAAUGGUUCAUCAUUUCCUUCUGCAGGAUGGCUGACCAGAAAACUCUGCCACUCGUAUGGACAGUCAACUUGUUUGUUAAAGUUAUGAAUGCCCCUUCCACAGCCAGCAAGUCCAGACAUGGACCUGGAACCCAGAGUUUCUGGCCCAUAGCCUCCAGAAGUCAAGAUGAAACAAGCCCUGACCUGGCUUCUCAAGGACACUGGUUUCCCUUGAAUGUUAGGAAUCAAGUUUUCUAUUAACAGAGGAUAAGAAUUUCCAGCAUCUACAGUUGUUUUCUUGAAAAUGAGAGGCUUUGAGUGCAGACAGGGAGAUGGACAUACAGGGCUGGAGUAAGCCCAAAAGCAAGUGUUCUGCACAGCAGAGGCCUAGCACCCAGGAGCUAAACGGCAGCUUUACUCAGAUCUCCACAUCUGGCUAAAGAUGAGAGAAAAUGGAUUUGACAACAUCAAAACCAGGUGACGACUGACAAUGUGCCCAAUCCAAACUUGAAAUCUGACACAAAGACCUGUAAUGACCUGAUGUACAUUUCAAUUCAAACUACCAAAAGAGAAUGAAUUAAAAACACCUUCAAUGGGGAUUGGGCUUGUUGACAAGAUCAGCAAUUGCUGC